rnacentral:rRNA from 1 species
UGCUUAACACAUGCAAGUCGAACGAGACCUUCGGGUCUAGUGGCGCACGGGUGCGUAACGCGUGGGAAUCUGCCCUUAGGUACGGAAUAACUCAGAGAAAUUUGUGCUAAUUACCGUAUGAUGUCGAAAGACCAAAAGAUUUUAUCGCCUAAGGAUGAGCCCGCGUAAGAUUAGCUUGUUGGUGAGGUAAAAGCUCACCAAGGCGACGAUCUUUAGCUGGUCUGAGAGGGGUGAUCAGCCACACUGGGGACUGAGACACGGCCCAGACUCC